rnacentral:rRNA from 1 species
UACGUAGGGUGCAAGCGUUGUCCGGAAUUAUUGGGCGUAAAGAGCUCGUAGGCGGUCUGUCGCGUCUGCUGUGAAAACUGGGGGCUCAACCCCCAGCCUGCAGUGGGUACGGGCAGACUAGAGUGCGGUAGGGGAGAUUGGAACUCCUGGUGUAGCGGUGGAAUGCGCAGAUAUCAGGAAGAACACCGAUGGCGAAGGCAGAUCUCUGGGCCGUAACUGGACGCUGAGGAGCGAAAGCAUGGGGAGCGAACAGG